AUUGAACGCUGGCGGCAGGCCUAACACAUGCAAGUCGAACGAGUGGCGGACGGGUGAGUAAUGUCUGGGAAACUGCCCGAUGGAGGGGGAUAACUACUGGAAACGGUAGCUAAUACCGCAUACCAUCGGAUGUUCCCAGAUGGGAUUAGCUUGUAGGUGAGGUAACGGCGCACCUAGGCGACGAGCCCUAGCUGGUCUGCGAGGAUGACCAGCGACACUGGCAGUGAGACACUGUCCAGACUCCGACGGUAGGAAGCAGUGGGGAAUAUUGCCGAAUGGGCGCAAGCCGUAUGCAGCCAUGCCGCGUGGACGAAGAAGGUCUUCGUGUUGUAAAGUACGUUCAGCGGCGGGGCGUUACCCGCAGAAGAAUCACCGGCUAAUUCCGGGCCAGCAGCCGCGGUAAUAC
rnacentral:rRNA from 1 species